CAUGUGCCGGCCCUGUGGUUAACCUUCUCAGCGGAGCGGGGGACGGGGAGUGAAGGGAGGGAAAGGCCUCCUAUAAAUACAAGACCCGUCGCUGCCCUCAUCAUUCCCUCGCUGACUCUUGCAGAAGAAACAUCAGUGAAGAUGUGGUCCAGCGUGCGUGUGGCAGCCGUGGUGGUGGUGGCGCUCCUGGCGGUGGUGGAGGCGUCGUACCCUGCUCCUGCCCCCAGUUACCACAGGCCCGCCCCCUGCUACCCGGAGACUCAAUACGUCACCCAGUACC